AAAGAGGCCUUCAGGUACGCACAGUACGCGUAC
rnacentral:tRNA from 1 species